UCUGCUGGAGAAUAUCAACAGCUGCAUUGGAGUUGGCAAAAUUUUUAUGAUGCCCUUGUUGGUAGUUUUAUGAUUUCACUUUUCUCUCACUUAGUAUAAAUAACAGUAAAACCAAGGGCAAAGUUAGACUUGAAAAGGUCGCAGUACCAUGGGACCCACAACAUUUAUGCCAGCAGAGACCUGUCAUCAUUUUUGAUAAUAAUACGAAAACGUAACAAAAUCCUAGGCUUUCAGUCCUUUCUCUCAUCUCCGCGUGAAGCUCUCUUUAUCCGGUGGAAUCUACAGAUUGGUCAAGGAGCUAUUUUAGCUGAUCAUUUGGGGAGCGAGCGGUCUUAACGAUUUACAUCCAGUCAGAUCGAAAUCGCUUUCAAGACAAUGGCUUGCCACGACAUAGUUUUAUUCGAUAAUCUAAAUGUGAUAUGUAUGCACUGACAUGACUUGAAGCAGCUCUCUUGAAGUAUGUCACAAGCUUUGUUGAUUCGGGAUUCACAGGAGAUGAAUACAGGAGUGGAAAACGUGCAGGAGAAUUCGAAAUUUGACUUACAAGAAGAAACAUGUGUCUACUGAAUACGUAUCUGUGAUUGUAGUUUAAGUUUGCUUUGUAAUUUCAGUUUGUUCGGAUUGUCGUUGACGAGGGGAGCUAAUAAGAGAUUUGGUGGGAAUUUAAUAUGUAACACAUAUUAUUCUUUUCAUUCAAUCACAACUAUUACUGAGAAAUUCAAAAAUGGCCAGAUUUACAAGUUGUCAUUCAAAAA